rnacentral:sRNA from 1 species
GCUCUCCAUGCCCCCCUCUCCUCAAUGGAUUCUCAACUGCGAAGAAUCUCUGAAAAUUCGAAUGGUGGGGCGACAAAAUUUGAAAUCCUGGCUGCAAAUCACAGUGCCGAUUCUGAAAAUUUUGGAAAUUGAAGAAUGGGAAAUCGCUGAAGAAAUUCUCGAAACUCGCCAAAUACGACAAGUUGGAGAGGUUUUGCGGCUUUCGCGAAAUGUCAAAAUUAGCGAUGAGCAGCUGGUUAAGCUGGCUGCUCCAAGUUUGGUGAUCAUUUCUGGCAAUACGAUUACAGAGCAGGGAGCAAAAAAAGUGUUAAAG